rnacentral:rRNA from 2 species
UUAGCGGCGGACGGGUGAGUAACACGUGGGCAACCUGCCUGUAAGACUGGGAUAACUUCGGGAAACCGGAGCUAAUACCGGAUAAUUCUUAUCAACACAUGUUGGUAAGCUGAAAGUCGGUUUCGGCUGACACUUACAGAUGGGCCCGCGGCGCAUUAGCUAGUUGGUGAGGUAACGGCUCACCAAGGCAACGAUGCGUAGCCGACCUGAGAGGGUGAUCGGCCACACUGGGACUGAGACACGGCCCAGACUCCUACGGGAGGCAGCAGUAGGGAAUCUUCCACAAUGGACGAAAGUCUGAUGGAGCAACGCCGCGUGAGCGAUGAAGGCCUUCGGGUCGUAAAGCUCUGUUGUUAGGGAAGAACAAGUAUCGGAGUAACUGCCGGUACCUUGACGGUACCUAACCAGAAAGCCACGGCUAACUACGUGCCAGCAGCCGCGGUAAUACGUAGGUGGCAAGCGUUGUCCGGAAUUAUUGGGCGUAAAGCGCGCGCAGGCGGUCCUUUAAGUCUGAUGUGAAAGCCCACGGCUCAACCGUGGAGGGUCAUUGGAAACUGGGGGACUUGAGUGCAGAAGAGGAAAGCGGAAUUCCACGUGUAGCGGUGAAAUGCGUAGAGAUGUGGAGGAACACCAGUGGCGAAGGCGGCUUUCUGGUCUGUAACUGACGCUGAGGCGCGAAAGCGUGGGGAGCAAACAGGAUUA